rnacentral:rRNA from 1 species
AACGUAGGGAAACUUACGCUAAUACCGCAUACGACCUUCGGGUGAAAGCAGGGGACCUUCGGGCCUUGCGCGGAUAGAUGAGCCGAUGUCGGAUUAGCUAGUUGGCGGGGUAAAGGCCCACCAAGGCGACGAUCCGUAGCUGGUCUGAGAGGAUGAUCAGCCACACUGGAACUGAGACACGGUCCAGACUCCUACGGGAGGCAGCAGUGGGGAAUAUUGGACAAUGGGCGCAAGCCUGAUCCAGCCAUACCGCGUGGGUGAAGAAGGCCUUCGGGUUGUAAAGCCCUUUUGUUGGGAAAGAAAAGCAGUCGGCUAAUACCCGGUUGUUCUGACGGUACCCAAAGAAUAAGCACCGGCUAACUUCGUGCCAGCAGCCGCGGUAAUACGAAGGGUGCAAGCGUUACUCGGAAUUACUGGGCGUAAAGCGUGCGUA